rnacentral:rRNA from 1 species
GACGAACGCUGGCGGCGUGCUUAACACAUGCAAGUCGAACGGAAAGGCCCUGCUUUUGUGGGGUGCUCGAGUGGCGAACGGGUGAGUAACACGUGAGUAACCUGCCCUUGACUUUGGGAUAACUUCAGGAAACUGGGGCUAAUACCGGAUAGGAGCUCCUGCUGCAUGGUGGGGGUUGGAAAGUUUCGGCGGUUGGGGAUGGACUCGCGGCUUAUCAGCUUGUUGGUGGGGUAGUGGCUUACUAAGGCUUUGACGGGUAGCCGGCCUGAGAGGGUGACCGGCCACAUUGGGACUGAGAUACGGCCCAGACUCCUACGGGAGGCAGAAGUGGGGAAUAUUGCACAAUGGGCGGAAGCCUGAUGCAGCAACGCCGCGUGCGGGAUGACGGCCUUCGGGUUGUAAACCGCUUUCGCCUGUGACGAAGCGUGAGUGACGGUAAUGGGUAAAGAAGCACCGGCUAACUACGUG